GAUGAGCGCUGGCGGCGUGCCUAAUACAUGCAAGUCGAGCGAACGGACGAGAAGCUUGCUUCUCUGAUGUUAGCGGCGGACGGGUGAGUAACACGUGGAUAACCUACCUAUAAGACUGGGAUAACUUCGGGAAACCGGAGCUAAUACCGGAUAAUAUUUUGAACCGCAUGGUUCAAAAGUGAAAGACGGUCUUGUUGUCACUUAUAGAUGGAUCCGCGCUGCAUUAGCUAGUUGGUAAGGUAACGGCUUACCAAGGCAACGAUGCAUAGCCGACCUGAGAGGGUGAUCGGCCACACUGGAACUGAGACACGGUCCAGACUCCUACGGGAGGCAGCAGUAGGGAAUCUUCCGCAAUGGGCGAAAGCCUGACGGAGCAACGCCGCGUGAGUGAUGAAGGUCUUCGGAUCGUAAAACUCUGUUAUUAGGGAAGAACAUAUGUGUAAGUAACUGUGCACAUCUUGACGGUACCUAAUCAGAAAGCCACGGCUAACUACGUG
rnacentral:rRNA from 1 species